GCACAUAGCUCAGUGGGAGAGCAUCUGCUUUGCAUGCAGAAAGUCCCAAUUUCAAUUCCUGGCAUCUCCA